rnacentral:tRNA from 1 species
GGCCCUUUAGUUCAGUGGUCAGAACAGACGGCUCAUAACCGUUUUGUUGCUGGUUCAAACCCAGCAAGGGCCUCCA